CAUUCUGUAGCAAUACAGGGUGUGGGCGCGUGGCGAACGGGUGCGUAACACGUGGAUAACCUUCCUUGAGGUGGGGAAUAACCCAGUGAAAAUUGGGCUAAUACCGCAUAACAUCGCGAUGGCACAUGCUGAUGCGAUCAAAGGCGCAAGUCGCCACAAGAGGGAUCCGCGGCCGAUUAGCUUGUUGGCGAGGUAAUGGCUCACCAAGGCAAUGAUCGGUAGCCGGACUGAGAGGUUGGCCGGCCACACUGGAACUGAGACACGGUCCAGACUCCUACGGGAGGCAGCAGUGGGGAAUCUUGCACAAUGGACGAAAGUCUGAUGCAGCAACGCCGCGUGGGGGAUGAAGCUUCUCGGAGUGUAAACCCCUUUCGACCCGGAAGAAUGCCCGCAAGGGUAUGACGGUACGGGUAUAAGAAGCCCCGGCUAACUACGUGCCAGCAGCCGCGGUAAUACGUAGGGGGCCAGCGUUGCUCGGAAUUACUGGGCGUAAAGGGUCCGUAGGCGGUGUAGCAAGUCGAUAGUGAAAUCUCUGGGCUUAACCCAGAGGCUGCUAACGAAACUGCUGUGCUAGAGUGUGAGAGAGGCGAGUGGAAUUACGGGUGUAGCGGUGAAAUGCGUAGAUAUCCGUAGGAACAUCCGAGGCGAAGGCGGCUCGCUGGAUCACAACUGACGCUGAGGGACGAAAGCUAGGGGAGCAAACAGGAUUAGAUACCCUGGUAGUCCUAGCCCUAAACCAUCAGGACUUGGGGUUUGCCCUGUACGGGGCAGGUCCCGUAGCUAACGCGUUAAGUCCUGCGCCUGGGGAGUACGGUCGCAAGGCUGAAACUC
rnacentral:rRNA from 1 species